rnacentral:tRNA from 15 species
GGGCCCUUAGCUCAGCUGGGAGAGCGCUACACUGGCAGUGUAGAGGUCGUCGGUUCGAUCCCGAUAGGGUCCACCA